CAGGGGGUAGUUUAGAUUUAUAAAAUGUUAACUUUGGAGGUUACCGAUAAGUGUGUUCUUUCCUCUGA
rnacentral:tRNA from 1 species